UACAGAGGGUGCAAGCGUUGUUCGGAAUUACUGGGCGUAAAGGGCGCGUAGGCGGUCGUGACAAGUCACUUGUGAAAUCUCCGGGCUUAACUCGGAACGGUCAAGUGAUACUGUCGGAUUAGAGUACGAGAAGGGGCAACUGGAAUUCUCGGUGUAGCGGUGAAAUGCGUAGAUAUCGAGAGGAACACCUGCGGCGAAGGCGGGUUGCUGGGCUGAUACUGACGCUGAGGCGCGAAAGCCAGGGGAGCGAACGGG
rnacentral:rRNA from 1 species